rnacentral:misc_RNA from 1 species
GAUGAAGAACGUAGCGAAAUGCGAUAAGUAAUGUGAAUUGCAGAAUUCAGUGAAUCAUCGAAUCUUUGAACGCACCUUGCGCUCCUUGGUAUUCCGAGGAGCAUGCCUGUUUGAGUGUCAUGAAAUUCUCAACCUUUUCAGCUUUCUUUGUUGAUCAGGCUUGGAUGUGGGAGUAUGCGGGCUUCUCAGAAGUCGGCUCUCCUGAAAUGCAUUAGCGGGACCUUUGUUGCCUGGCUUUGGUGUCAUAAUUAUCUACGCCAUUGUAGUCAAGCAGCUUAAAAUGAGGUUUCAGCUUCUAACCGUCUCCCCUGAGACAACUUUUUGACAAUUUGACCUCAAAUCAGGUAGGACUACCCGCUGAACUUAAGCAUAUCAAUAAGCGGAGGA